GAUGAACGCUGGCAGCGUGCCUAAUACAUGCAAGUCGAACGCGAGCAGCAAUGCUCGAGUGGCGAACGGGUGAGUAAUACAUAAGUAACCUGCCCUAGACAGGGGGAUAACUGCUGGAAAUGACUGCUAAUACCGCAUAAGCGCACGUCAUCGCAUGAUGGUGUGUGAAAAACUCCGGUGGUAUGGGAUGGACCCGCGUCUGAUUAGCUGGUUGGUGGGGUAACGGCCCACCAAGGCGACGAUCAGUAGCCGGCCUGAGAGGGUGAACGGCCACAUUGGGACUGAGACACGGCCCAG
rnacentral:rRNA from 1 species